UACAUAUAUAUAUAUAUAUAUAUAUAUUUAUAUAAUAGGCAAAGAAGAACGAUAGUAAGAUGAAGAUGAAAAUGGCCUUCAAUGAUAAGUAUCUGACUUGCUAUUUUCCUCGAUGCAUGUGAAAAUAGACUAAAUAGUCUCAUUCUAAUUAAUAGAACUUUUGGAGUGAAGGCAUGCAAAUUAUCUUUUAAUUACUAAUGAAAUGUACUCUAAUAUUAUAGUUAGCAGAUAAUAAGAUUGUGGUUAUAGUUAUAGUUUAUGACGAGCAAGCUAAAAGAAACAUGAAUUUCUGUUGUUUGGGGUUUAAUCAACCAUCUCUAUAUAUAUUGGUUUUUUUAUAUUGGUCGGUGUCUUUAAUCAUAAGGGUAUAAUUCAGGUUCCAGUUUGGUUCAAUUGUAUGAGAGAAAUGCAGAACUCUUUCACGAGCAUUAAGGACCUGCAUGCGAAGUAGACUAGCUCUUUGUUGUUGUUGCAAAUGACAAGUUUAAGUACCAAUACCGGUUCAAGUGUGUGGACUUCAAGAGGGAAAGACAAAGCAAGUUUGGACAGGCCACUUUGCUACUGUCGCAUUCCAUCGAAACUUCGAAUAUCUGGGAAGGGUCAUAGUUUUGGCAGAAGAUUUUACAACUGCCCAAACUAUAAGAUCAAUAAACAAUGUGAAUAUUUUGAAUAGAUUGAUCUUGAAAGUCAACAAAAUCCAUGCUGCAAGAUGACAUUGGAGUUAGCUCAACGAAGGAAUGAGAGGUUAUUUCAUGAACAUGUAACGAUCGAAGAAGCCAAAUAUAAAGCAAUGGAAAAGAAGUAUAAGGGAACCUUAAAAGUGUGUUGACAUCGUGGUUGUUGUUUAUUGCGAUUUUUGUUGUAAUUUUUAUGUAUCCCAAAAAUAGUUUUGUAUGUCGAGCAGUGCUUCGACUCAUGUAAGCUGUUUUAGUUUUGGACAAUUGAUUGUAAUGAACAUGUGAUGUAAUGAGUUGGCUUUUGUCAAUGUUUUAGAAUGUUAUGGACAUGUUUUGA